CUUCCACAAUGGGGGAAACCCUGAUGCAGCGACGCCGCGUGAGUGAAGAAGUAUUUCGGUAUGUAAAGCGCUAUCAGCAGGGAAGAAAAUGACGGUACCUGAUUAAGAAGCCCCGGCUAACUACGUGCCAGCAGCCGCGGUAAUACGUAGGGGGCAAGCGUUAUCCGGAAUUACUGGGUGUAAAGGGAGCGUAGACGGUGAUGUAAGUCUGGAGUGAAAGGCGGGGGCCCAACCCCCGGAUUGCUCUGGAAACUAUGCGACUGGAGUGCAGGAGAGGUGAGCGGAAUUCCUAGUGUAGCGGUGAAAUGCGUAGAUAUUAGGAGGAGCACCAGUGGCGAAGGCGGCUCACUGGACUGUAACUGACGUUGAGGCUCGAAAGCGUGGGGAGCAAACAGG
rnacentral:rRNA from 1 species